UACGGAGGGUGCGAGCGUUGUCCGGAAUCACUGGGCGUAAAGGGCGCGUAGGUGGCGCGGGCAGUCAACGGUGAAAGUUCGGGGCUCAACCCUGAAUCGGCCGUCGAUACUCCCGGGCUUGAGCACUGUAGAGGCAGAUGGAAUUCCGGGUGUAGCGGUGGAAUGCGUAGAGAUCCGGAAGAACACCGGUGGCGAAGGCGGUCUGCUGGGGUGAGGCUGACGCUGAGGCGCGACAGCGUGGGGAGCAAACAGG
rnacentral:rRNA from 1 species